rnacentral:rRNA from 1 species
AUUGAACGCUGGCGGAAUGCUUUACACAUGCAAGUCGAACGGCAGCACGGACUUCGGUCUGGUGGCGAGUGGCGAACGGGUGAGUAAUGUAUCGGAACGUGCCCAGUCGUGGGGGAUAACGUAGUGAAAAUCACGCUAAUACCGCAUACGAUCUAUGGAUGAAAGCGGGGGACCGCAAGACCUCGCGCGAUUGGAGCGGCCGAUAUCAGAUUAGGUAGUUGGUGGGGUAAAGGACCACCAAGCCAACGAUCUGUAGCUGGUCUGAGAGGACGACCAGCCACACUGGAACUGAGACACGGUCCAGACUCCUACGGGCGGCAGCAGUGGGGAAUUUUGGACAAUGGGCGAAAGCCUGAUCCAGCCAUUCCGCGUGCAGGAUGAAGGCCCUCGGGUUGUAAACUGCUUUUGUACAGAACGAAAAGGUUUCUACUAAUACUAGGAGCUCAUGACGGUACUGUAAGAAUAAGCACCGGCUAACUACGUGCCAGCCGCCGCCGUAA